rnacentral:rRNA from 1 species
ACGUAGGGGACGAGCGUUGUCCGGAUUUACUGGGCGUAAAGGGCGCGUAGGCGGUCAUUUAAGUCAGCUGUGAAAUGGUUUGGCUUAACCGGAUCAUGCGGUUGAAACUGGAUGACUGGAGUGCUGGUGAGGCAAGUGGAAUUCCUAAUGUAGCGGUGAAAUGCGUAGAUAUUGGGAAGAACACCGGUGGCGAAGGCAGCUUACUGGCCAGCAACUGACGCUGAGGCGCGAAAGCGUGGGGAUCAAACAG